AUGAGCGCACUCCUCGCAACACCCACCAGAGCCCAGCCGUUUCUCCUUCUUCUUCACCACCUCCGACCGAAUCAGCUGCGUCCACUCCACACAACCAGAGCUCUAGCUUCGUUCGCCGCGUCGUCGCCAAGAGCACCGCCCGCUCGCCGAGGGACCAGAGCCAUGGCGUCGCAGAAGUUCCCGCCGCAGCAGCAGGACUGCCAGCCCGGCAAGGAGCACGCCAUGGACCCCCGCCCCGAGACCCUCAUCAAGAACUACAAGUCGGCCAACAAGCUCCAGGGCAAGGUGGCGCUGGUGACCGGCGGCGACUCGGGCAUCGGGCGCGCGGUGUGCCUGUGCUUCGCGCUGGAGGGCGCGACGGUGAACUUCACGUACGUGAAGGGGCACGAGGACAAGGACGCGGAGGAGACCCUGCAGGCGCUCCGCGACAUCAAGUCCCGCACCGGCGCCGGCGAGCCCAAGGCGCUGGCGGGCGACCUCGGGUACGAGGAGAACUGCCGCAGGGUGGUGGAGGAGGUGGCGAGCGCGCACGGCGGCCGCGUGGACAUCCUGGUGAACAACGCGGCGGAGCAGUACGUCCGGCCCUGCAUCACCGAGAUCAGCGAGCAGGACCUGGAGCGCGUGUUCCGCACCAACAUCUUCUCCUACUUCCUCAUGGCCAAGUUCGCGGUGAAGCACAUGGGGCCCGGGUCCAGCAUCAUCAACACCACCUCCGUGAACGCGUACAAGGGCAACGCGACGCUGCUGGACUACACGGCCACCAAGGGCGCCAUCGUGGCCUUCACCCGCGCGCUGUCGAUGCAGCUGGCGGAGAAGGGGAUCCGCGUCAACGGCGUCGCGCCGGGGCCCAUCUGGACGCCGCUCAUCCCGGCCUCCUUCCCGGAGGAGAAGGUGAAGCAGUUCGGGUCCGAGGUGCCCAUGAAGCGUGCCGGGCAGCCCAGCGAGGUGGCGCCCAGCUUCGUCUUCCUGGCCAGCGAGCAGGACUCCUCCUACAUCUCCGGCCAGGUCAUCCACCCCAACGGUGGUACCAUCGUCAAUAGCUAG
rnacentral:rRNA from 1 species